rnacentral:rRNA from 1 species
GAUGAACGCUGGCGGCGUGCUUAACACAUGCAAGUCGAACGAGAAGUGAAGACGGAAACCUUCGGGCGGAAGGCUUUAUUUCGAGUGGCGGACGGGUGAGUAACGCGUGGGUAACCUGCCUCAUACAGGGGGAUAACAGUUGGAAACGACUGUUAAUACCGCAUAAGACCACAGCACCGCAUGGUGCGGGGGUAAAAACUCCGGUGGUAUGAGAUGGACCCGCGUUCGAUUAGCCAGUUGGCGGGGUAACGGCCCACCAAAGCGACGAUCGAUAGCCGAUCUGAGAGGAUGACCGGCCACAUUGGGACUGAGACACGGCCCAAACUCCUACGGGAGGCAGCAGUGGGGAAUAUUGCACAAUGGGGGAAACCCUGAUGCAGCGACGCCGCGUGAGUGAAGAAGUAUUUCGGUAUGUAAAGCUCUAUCAGCAGGGAAGAAAAUGACGGUACCUGAAUAAGAAGCCCCGGCUAACUACGUG